rnacentral:rRNA from 1 species
CAGUCGCCGCGGUAAUACGUAGGGCGCAAGCGUUAUCCGGAAUUAUUGGGCGUAAAGAGCUCGUAGGCGGUUUGUCGCGUCUGCCGUGAAAGUCCGGGGCUCAACCCCGGAUCUGCGGUGGGUACGGGCAGACUAGAGUGAUGUAGGGGAGACUGGAAUUCCUGGUGUAGCGGUGAAAUGCGCAGAUAUCAGGAGGAACACCGAUGGCGAAGGCAGGUCUCUGGGCAUUAACUGACGCUGAGGAGCGAAAGCAUGGGGGGCGAACAGGAUUAGAUACCCCCGUAGUCCCUGUCUCUUAUAC